AGAUCAUGUUAAAAAGCUGCGGUGAACUGCCACCAGUCUCUUGGAUCGCUUCAUUUGGAAAUAAGAGAAAUGUUUACAUUCUGCACAUGUAAAGACACAAAGCAAGGACUGCACUCAAAAAGUCUCUCUACGAAUAAUACGCCCAGAACACAGUUGGCCUUCCAGGCUGCAAGUGCACACUGCUGGAUCAUGUUCAGCUUCUUGACCACCAGGACCCACAAGUCUUUCUCCACAGGGCUGCUCUCAGGAGAUCUUCCUCCAGUUUGUACAGAUACCUGGGAUUGCUC
rnacentral:lncRNA from 1 species